rnacentral:rRNA from 1 species
UACAGAGGUCGCAAGCGUUAAUCGGAUUUACUGGGCGUAAAGCGUGUGUAGGUGGUUGUACAAGUCGGUUGUGAAAUCCCCGGGCUCAACCUGGGAACUGCUUCCGAGACUGUGCGACUAGAGAUCGGUAGAGGGCGGUGGAAUUUCCGGUGUAGCGGUGAAAUGCGUAGAGAUGUGGAGGAACACCGAUGGCGAAGGCAGCCCCCUGGGGUAACACUGACGCUCAUGCACGAAAGCGUGGGGAGCAAACAGG